UACGUAGGCAGCAAGCGUUGUUCGGAGUUACUGGGCGUAAAGAGUGUGUAGGCGGUUCUCUAAGUUCGGUGUGAAAUCUCCCGGCUCAACUGGGAGGGUGCGCCGGAAACUGGAGGGCUUGAGUAUGGGAGAGGAAAGCGGAAUUCCUGGUGUAGCGGUGAAAUGCGUAGAUAUCAGGAGGAACACCUGCGGUGUAGACGGCUUUCUGGACCAUCACUGACGCUGAGACACGAAAGCGUGGGUAGCAAACAGG
rnacentral:rRNA from 1 species